rnacentral:lncRNA from 1 species
CCAAUUCAAUGUUCCUAAACCUAUCCAAUAUACUCUCUCGAUAUAUAUUGAAUCUACUCUUGCACACCACCAGCCUAUAUUUCUAUGGAUGAUGCAAUUAUACAAGAAUGCAUGAAUUUUUAUGAACCCCUUAUGAAUUGCAUAAAGCAUAGGGGUAUAUUUCUAUCCCCUAUCGAACCCUAUGUUAAUUUAUAUUAUAUCGAAUCUAUUCCCCUUCUUUCGAAUGCAAAGAAUAAAUCAUCUAAACUCACAUAACAUAUGGCCAAUAAUUAUGGAAGCAAUCAAAUCAUAUAAAUCAAACAAUUGUCCAACUGAAACUUUAUAUUGAAUUUAUGAAAUAAAGGAGAUUAAAUAAUCAAAGGUUCAUCGAUUUCCUAAUGAAUAAAAACCCUAGCCUAUGAUCAUAAUUACAGAAUCAAGAAUUAAACCGAAAUUAAAAGAUAUAAAGAAUACACCCGUAUGAUAAUCCUUCAAUUUUGUGUGUAAUCUUCAAUUCCUUCUUAAAUCCUUGUGAAAUCAAG